rnacentral:rRNA from 1 species
UACGUAGGGGGCUAGCGUUGUCCGGAAUCAUUGGGCGUAAAGCGCGUGUAGGCGGUCCGGUAAGUCCGCUGUGAAAGUCGGGGGCUCAACCCUCGGAUGCCGGUGGAUACUGUCGGGCUUGAGUACGGAAGAGGCGAGUGGAAUUCCUGGUGUAGCGGUGAAAUGCGUAGAUAUCGGGAGGAACACCGGUGGCGAAGGCGGCUCUCUGGACCACUACUGACGCUGAGGCGCGAAAGCUAGGGGAGCAAACAGG